UGCCAGCAGCCGCGGUAAUACGAAGGGUGCUAGCGUUGUUCGGAAUUACUGGGCGUAAAGAGCAUGUAGGCGGCUAUUUAAGUCGGGUGUGAAAGCCCCGGGCUCAACCUGGGAACUGCAUUCGAUACUGGAUGGCUUGAGUACGAGAGAGGGUGGUAGAAUUUCUAGUGUAGCGGUGAAAUGCGUAGAUAUUAGAAGGAAUACCAGUGGCGAAGGCGGCCACCUGGCUCGAUACUGACGCUGAGGUGCGAAAGCGUGGGGAGCAAACAGGAUUAGAUA
rnacentral:rRNA from 1 species